AGAGUUUGAUCCUGGCUCAGGAUGAACGCUAGCGGCAGGCUUAACACAUGCAAGUCGAGGGGCAGCAUUACUUUCGGGUAGAUGGCGACCGGCGGACGGGUGAGUAACGCGUAUGCAACCUAUCUAUAACAUGGGGAUAGCCCGUGGAAACGCGGAUUAAUACCUGAUGCUAUAUAUUUACGGCAUCGUAAAUAUAUAAAAGAUUUAUCGGUUAUAGUUGGGCAUGCGUGCCAUUAGAUAGUUGGUAAGGUAACGGCUUACCAAAUCGAUGAUGGCUACGGGGUCUAGAAGGAUGGUCCCGCACACUGGUACUGAGACACGGACCAGACUCCUACGGGAGGCAGCAGUGAGGAAUAUUGGUCAAUGGGGGUAACCCUGAACCAGCCAUGUCGCGUGAAGGAUUACGGUCUAAUUGAUUGUAAACUUCUUUUAAGAGGGAAGAACAGUAGGUAUUAAUACUUAUAUGCCGGUACCUUUUGAAUAAGCAUCGGCUAACUCCGUGCCAGCAGCCGCGGUAAUACGGAGGAUGCAAGCGUUAUCCGGAUUUAUUAGGUUUAAAGGGUGCGUAGGCUGUAUAUUAAGUCAGCGGUGAAAAGUUUCGGCUUAACCGGAAUCGUGCCGUUGAAACUGUUAUACUUGAAUUAGGUUUAGGUAGGCGGAAUGUGUAAUGUAGCGGUGAAAUGCUUAGAUAUUACCCAGAACACCAAUUGCGAAGGCAGCUUACUGUACCUUGAUUGACGCUGAUGCACGAAAGCGUGGGUAUCGAACAGGAUUAGAUACCCUGGUAGUCCACGCCGUAAACGAUGAUCACUGGCUGUGUGCGAUAUAUAGUAUGUGGCUGAGCGAAAGCAUUAAGUGAUCCACCUGGGGAAUCAAGAAUGAAACUCAAAGGAAUUGACGGGGGCCCGCACAAGCGGAGGAACAUGUGGUUUAAUUCGAUGAUACGCGAGGAACCUUACCUGGUCUUAAAUGAUGUUUGCUAUAAUCGGAAACGGUUAUUUCUUCGGACAGAUAUCAAGGUGCUGCAUGGCUGUCGUCAGCUCGUGCCGUGAGGUGUCGGGUUAAGUCCCAUAACGAGCGCAACCCCUAUCAUUAGUUGCUAACAGUUUAAGCUGAGGACUCUAGUGAGACUGCCACCGUAAGGUGUGAGGAAGGUGGGGAUGACGUCAAGUCAGCACGGCCCUUACGACCAGGGCUACACACGUGUUACAAUGGUCGAUACAAUAUGUUGCAAUUCGGUGACGGAGAGCUAAUCAAUAAAGUCGGUCUCAGUUCGGAUCGGAGUCUGCAACUCGGCUCCGUGAAGUUGGAUUCGCUAGUAAUCGCAUAUCAUCAACGAUGCGGUGAAUACGUUCCCGGGCCUUGUACACACCGCCCGUCAAGCCAUGGAAGCUGGGGGUACCUGAAGUUCGUAACCGCGAGGGGCGGCCUAGGGUAAUACUAGUAACUGGGGCUAAGUCGUAACAAGGUAGCCGUACCGGAAGGUGUGGCUG
rnacentral:rRNA from 1 species